GAGUCUCCUUGGAUCAUGGCUUCCUGCUUUAAGGAUUGUUCAGGGCAGCUGAUCUCUCUUCCAAGAUGGAAAUAUUGCUCUGGAAAAAAGUCUUUCAGGCCUCUUCUAGACUCACAUUUUGGGCUCUACUUUCUAUUUAUUUCAGUUAUUCCACUGACCAGGGACAUCACAGAAAUUCUUUUACAUUGAACAACUCCAACUACUCCUUCAACAGCCCUCUCUCCUCCUUGGUUCUUUCCUGCUGGGUUUCUGCUGGGCUGAGCUGGGUUCAGUACUUUGGGGUUCUGUUACUGGGGUAA
rnacentral:lncRNA from 1 species